GAAAAAGCAGAUUGAACUGUUUCUGGAAGGAAAGAGUGGGGACACCCUGCCUGAAGGCUGGCCUGUGAGGAGCAGACUGAGGAUGGGCCUGGUCCUCCUUUUCCUGGUGGAAAAUGCCAGACUCUGCUUGUCCGAAGGUGACUUGACCUCACUGUGCUCCAUCCUCUGCCCCAGCACCUGCUCUCCAGAUGUCCUACACCGUGAACUCCACCACAUCCUGGGCACAUCUGAGAGCAUGUCGGGAAUGUUUUCAAAAUGCUGAUGCACCUUGUGGACACCCUUCAGGAUGUGAUUCUUGAGAAGACCUCGUUAGAGUCCUACUUGACUGUGUGCCUGAAGCUCCAUCAAGCUGCCUGCAGGAUCACCAAAUGCCUGAGGUUUUAUGAGAUCCCCGCCUUGUCUGCUGAGGUCAUUUGCAGAGUCAUCAGACUUAGACCUCCAGUGGACGUGGCAGAGGACCCGGGAGCCACAGCCCAGAAGGGCUUCCUGACAGUUUUCCUCCAGGGUGUCCUGGCCACCACAAGAUCCUGGCUGUGCACAGUGUUAGCAAAGAGAAUGUUCCGGAAGGGUUCGACUCUCCUUUUCACCUACCCGGAGGAGAUCCAGGUCUGGCGGCGGCUGGUGGAAAUAAACUUUCCUGCAGAGUAUGACUGGAAGGAGUCGCUGCUGGGGGACAUGGAAGGGAGGCUCAAGAAGGAGAGGCCUCUUUCCCAGAUCUCUGCCUUCUGCAGCCCUCACUGGGAUGCCGCUGGCCUCAAGGACAGUGUGGCCAGGAGCUUUGAGAAGUGUGUCAUCGAAGCUGUGAGCUCUGCUUGCCAGGUGACCAAUCUCUUCUUGGGAAACAUG
rnacentral:lncRNA from 1 species